rnacentral:lncRNA from 1 species
UUUGUGAUCUUCCAACAGGACAAUGUCAUGGUGGUUGUACUACAAUCCCAGAGUCAGACCUAGAAGAAAGAUCAGUAGAACAAGACUCUACAGAACUGUUUACCAACCACAGACAUCUCACUGCAGAGACACCCAGGCCUGAAGUUUCACCCCUCCAAGGAGUCUCGGAAUAAUUCAAGUAGAGUUGUUUGGUUGAGAGGAACAUCCCCAUCUCAAGGCCGAACCUGUGUGAACCUCAUGCCAAGCACAGAUAUAGGGCUGGCGCAGGUGCUUCCUAAAGCUCACCUUCCUGGAGAUGACAUGCAUAGAAAGAGGGGUUGGGACUUUUUACUUCACUAGGAGAACUUGUAACACCAUGGGGAAGUCAGCUGAAACUUGUCUUGUUUUGCCAGGAAAGGAAGUAGUUGCCUUUGGUCAUCCAUCUGCUAAUAGUCACAGAAUACAGUGAAAUGACAUAGUUUUGGGUUAGAUUUUAUAAUGCAAAGAUUCAGAUCCAAA